AGUCCUGCGCUCCUGGUUUCCUGUAAAGGGUGUUGUCUUCAGGGAAACUCCUGCAGUCGCCCCUUAACUGUGGGAUCAUUUCCAGCUCCUUUUAUGUACUCUUGUCCUGGCAUCUGUUGUUUACUCAUUAACCACCAAAUGCAGCAGUUAGUCCUCUUAGAGUUUAAUCUCCUGGGAAUCAAAGAUGUAGCAACGUUGAUGCGGGAGUCAGGCUGGAAGGUCCCUUCUGGAAGAACUGUUUUGUAUUUUGAACACAAGGGAAUUCUACUUCUGGACCCUUCUGUCAAGAUGGAUCUUUGUUACUUGAGAGUUUUCUUGGUAGGACUAGUAAGAUCAUCACCCAGUGUUAAAAUUGUGCUUCAGCUUUCUGUAGCAAGCCCUGGAAGGCACCCCAACCAAGGAAAGAGAAGGCAGCGUCACCUAGGAAGUAUCUGGAGCGAAAUUUAAAAAUCCUUUUCACAUACAAUGUGAUGCUGCUGAAAUAAAGCACAGGAUGCUUUUCUGAAUCUGAUGAACCACUUUGAUUGGGUGCUGUUUUCUCCUGCCAGCUUCCAACAAUAAGGUAUCCCCAGCCCAGGACUGGAGCCAGGUGACGCCUACACCCGAAGCCCUGGAGGCUUCUUGGAGCUUCUCUGUCUUCUACAAGCCCACCCAUCUGUCAGGCCAUCCUGUGGGUGCUCCUCACUAAAGGUGCCCAGGAUCUGAGGCUUCUCGCUGCCACCACUCAUCAUCCCAGCCCUGCCACCACUAGCUGUCACCUGGACCAUCACAGUGGCUCUCAGCUGGGUGCCCCCACCCUCCCAGCAGCCAGGGCAUGCAUGGCCACGCAGUGUCACAUUUCCCCCAGGGCAAGGGAAGGCACAGAGGAAGGAGUGUAACAACACUGGGUGCAGAGUAGGCCAGUGGCUGGUCAAACCCCAGGCACCUGGGGCUUUACACACGGCGAGAGGCAGCUCCAGCCCCGAUGGCCACCUGAGGCCGCGAGAGACGGGGCCACACAGCUAAUCAGAGCACUUGGAGGAUCUAGGCGGGCACCAGUGGUGUUCCCUUCACCCCUGGACUGCCUCAGCC